AUGGAGCCGACCUUGAAAUACCACCCUUUAAUGUUUGAUGUUCUAACGUUGACCCGUAAUCCGGGUUGCGGACAGUGUCUGGUGGGUAGUUUGACUGGGGCGGUCUCCUCCUAAAGAGUAACGGAGGAGCACGAAGGUUGGCUAAUCCUGGUCGGACAUCAGGAGGUUAGUGCAAUGGCAUAAGCCAGCUUGACUGCGAGCGUGACGGCGCGAGCAGGUGCGAAAGCAGGUCAUAGUGAUCCGGUGGUUCUGAAUGGAAGGGCCAUCGCUCAACGGAUAAAAGGUACUCCGGGGAUAACAGGCUGAUACCGCCCAAGAGUUCAUAUCGACGGCGGUGUUUGGCACCUCGAUGUCGGCUCAUCACAUCCUGGGGCUGAAGUAGGUCCCAAGGGUAUGGCUGUUCGCCAUUUAAAGUGGUACGCGAGCUGGGUUUAGAACGUCGUGAGACAGUUCGGUCCCUAUCUGCCGUGGGCGCUGGAGAACUGAGGGGGGCUGCUCCUAGUACGAGAGGACCGGAGUGGACGCAUCACUGGUGUUCGGGUUGUCAUGCCAAUGGCACUGCCCGGUAGCUAAAUGCGGAAGAGAUAAGUGCUGAAAGCAUCUA
rnacentral:rRNA from 1 species